CAACUGGCAGACAAUACAAAAAAUUCGAAAUACAAAAAUAAAUUCUCGAAUUCGAAAAAAAAGGGAAUUUCAUGCGGACGGGUUUUAUUUUUACACAAAAAUUCAACACACCAUCAGCAAAAGAGCAAAGACUGAGAAGAUGUACGAGUUUUUUUUGUAUAAAAGCUGAAAUAUGUUACAAAUUAAUGGAAGCUGGCUGGAGAGCGGCCUAUACAACGGGUGCCUAUAUCGACUCAGAAAAGAGUAUCAGCGCGGGUAUUGUUUUGUAUAUUGGGUAUUAAAGAAUCGUUAAGAAAGGAUGUCAAAUGAAAUAUUUGAGAUAUUCCUUUGAUGAUUUGUGAUUGAGUUGAAACGUGACUUUUGUUCGUUUUUUUUUUUUUCGUUGUGUUUUCUGUUGGCUUUGAGAUUUUUCAAACAUCAGAAUGUUAAAUGGGAAUCUGGAGAAAAACACCAAUCCGCUAGUAGCAAAAAAAAAAAAAAAACACCAAAAGGGAAAACAAAACACAUGUAUCAAGAAUGUCAGGCGUGCCGCAAUAAUCUUUAAACGUAAACGUUGUUCACCCCCGCCGCCGACGCCUAUUGGAUUUGGAUUUGGAUGGUGAGCAGGAGCACAUCACGCGCGCAUCUAUAUGUACCUAAAUCGUGUCGUGAGGUAUUGGAAGAGCAACAUUUCGGUUGGCAGAUGAUGAGGCCAAUAUACAAUGUUUAACCAGAUGUGGAUGUGGAUGGGAUAUGGGACAUUUUUCUUAAUGAAUUUGGAUUUUUCAACGCUGAAAAUUUUCAAAAAACUUCGCACACUGUAUCAAAGCAGGAAUGAUUUCAGUUUUGCCAUCGGAAAAUUUGAUAUAGAGAUUUGUGAACGGCACUUUGAAGAUUCGGAACGCAUUUAAAAUGGAUCCACAGGGCGUUUCGUCAAAAAUCAUCUAAAAAAUAAGAGUUUAGAAUGCAAGGAGUAUGAAAGUAUCUAUCGGUAGCUAAUGUGCUGUAAUGUUGAUUCUGAAUGAAGAAGAAAGUUUCCCUCUCAUGUUGAAAGGUAGGCAAUUGAACAAUUUAACAUGAUGAAUUUUCUUACAUAACUUUUCCAAGAAUGAAAUGGAUUUUC